AUCCAGUUGACGAGUCCCAAAUAGGAUGAAACGCGUGUCCUGGAU
rnacentral:hammerhead_ribozyme from 1 species